rnacentral:rRNA from 1 species
GGAUUGGGAGGGUUCUACGGAACCCGUUUGGUGAAUCUAGUGCCGAGAAAAGCCUUCUAUGUGUUGAAUUUCUAGUACCCGUACCCCAAACCGACACAGGUGGGUGGGUAGAGCAUACCUAGGGGCGCGUGAUAACUCUCUCUAAGGAACUCGGCAAAAUGGCCCUGUAACUUCGGGAUAAGGGGUGCCUGCGUGAGCAGGCCGCAGUGAAAUGGCUCUGGCGACUGUUUACCAAAAACACAGGUCUCUGCUAAGUCGUAAGACGAUGUAUAGGGGCUGACUCCUGCCCAGUGCCGGAAGGUUAAGGAAGUUGGUUAGCGCAAGCGAAGCUGGCGACCGAAGCCCCGGUGAACGGCGGCCGUAACUAUAACGGUCCUAAGGUAGCGAAAUUCCUUGUCGGGUAAGUUCCGACCCGCACGAAAGGAGUAACGAUCAGAGCGCUGUCUCGGAGAGAGACACGGCGAAAUAGGAUUGUCCGUGAAGAUACGGACUACCUGCACCCGGACAGAAAGACCCUAUGAAGCUUUACUGUAACUUGGAAUUGUGUUCGGACUUUGUCUGCGCAGAAUAGGUGGGAGGCUAUGAAACGUUCCUCGCGGGGAACUGGAGCCAUCGUUGAGAUACCACUCUGGCAGAGUCUGGAUUCUAACCUACGGGGACAGUUCCAGGUGGGCAGUUUGACUGGGGCGGUCGCCUCCUAAAAUGUAACGGAGGCGCGCAAAGGUUCCCUCAGGCUGGUUGGAAAUCAGCCGUAGAGUGUAAAGCAUAAGGGAGCUUGACUGUGAGACCUACAAGUCGAGCAGGGACGAAAGUCGGCUUUAGUGAUCCGACGGCACUGAGUGGAAGGGCCGUCGCUCAACGGAUAAGAGUUACUCUAGGGAUAACAGGCUGAUCUCCCCCAAGAGUUCACAUCGACGGGGAGGUUUGGCACCUCGAUGUCGGCUCGUCGCAACCUGGGGCGGUAGUACGUCCCAAGGGUUGGGCUGUUCGCCCAUUAAAGCGGCACGUGAGCUGGGUUCAGAACGUCGUGAGACAGUUCGGUCCAUAUCCGGUGUAGGCGUAGGAGCAUUGAAAGGAUCUCUCCUUAGUACGAGAGGACCGGGAGGGACGUACCUCUGGUGUACCUGUUAUCGUGCCAACGGUAAACGCAGGGUAGCCAUGUACGGAGUGGAUAACCGCUGAAAGCAUCUAAGUGGGAAGCCCACCUUAAGAUGAGUGCUCCCUUGAGGCCACGGGAAGACGACCCGUUUGAUAGGCGCUAGGUGGAAGUGCAGUAAUGCAUGCAGCCGAGGCGUACUAAUAGGCCGAUGGC